rnacentral:rRNA from 1 species
CACGUAGGGGGCGAGCGUUGUCCGGAUUCAUUGGGCGUAAAGAGCUCGUAGGCGGUUUGUCGCGUCUGCUGUGAAAACUCGGGGCUUAACUCCGGGCCUGCAGUGGGUACGGGCAGACUAGAGUGCGGUAGGGGAGACUGGAAUUCCUGGUGUAGCGGUGAAAUGCGCAGAUAUCAGGAGGAACACCGGUGGCGAAGGCGGGUCUCUGGGCCGUAACUGACGCUGAGGAGCGAAAGCGUGGGGAGCGAACAGG